UACGGAGGGCGCAAGCGUUGUCCGGAAUUAUUGGGCGUAAAGAGCUCGUAGGCGGUUUGUCGCGUCUGCUGUGAAAACCCGAGGCUCAACCUCGGGCCUGCAGUGGGUACGGGCAGACUAGAGUGCGGUAGGGGAGAUUGGAAUUCCUGGUGUAGCGGUGGAAUGCGCAGAUAUCAGGAGGAACACCAAUGGCGAAGGCAGAUCUCUGGGCCGUAACUGACGCUGAGGAGCGAAAGCAUGGGGAGCGAACAGG
rnacentral:rRNA from 1 species